ensembl:lncRNA
CAGAGGUCAAAGCUCAAAAGACCCAUUGUUGCCUCAUUGGUGGAGUUUCAGCCCCCGGGAUCAGAACACAAAAAAAUCACUGAUGAAGUUGAAAAGGAACCAGGAAGACCCCUGUGCUGGGAGGAGGUACAAGGAUCGUGCUAUUGGAAUUGGGGCUCAAGUCAAGGGCGUGGCACAAGAAGUAUUUCCAGCACAUCCAGACAUAAGAUGACAACAGUGAAUUACUACAAAUGCAGCAAAGGAAAAUGAAUGUUAAUAAUGAACGAGUGAUAGGAAAAAGGAAAACCACUGAAGCAGCUCCAAACUGGAAAGCCUGGUGAUGGACAUGUCAUCAAGGAUGAGAAGGGACCUUUGUCUGUAUAAAAGGAAACAGCAGACCUCACAGUGAUUACAGAUAGGAUUCUAGGGACCUGUCCUGCACCAAACGUCUUUGGGGCUAUGAUCUCCCUCAUUGAGAUAUUCAGAUGUGGUAGAGUGGAGUUGUGUAGAGAACAGCAUAAAAUGCUAAACUGGAGUAGGUGGGAACCUAGGCAGCUGGUAUGUAGAGAAAGAAAAUAUUGAAUAGUUUGCAUGCAGGUAGAUUCCCAUGAUGACUUUUAAAUCUGGUUUAUGAUGCAUAAAUAUUAAAUGAACUAAAAAGCUUUAAGGUUGAAAAUGACCCUGUACAGGCAGAACAUGAAUGCCUUCUGUACAUGACUCCUGUUGACUUCAGAUUUCAAGAGCACAGACUGGGCCAAAAUUACUUGCUGUGCAGCAAUGAUUUCAUAAUAGGAAUAUUAUGUCUCAAUGUUUAGAACCUUCUAAAUUAUUCAGAAAUCUUCUGAAAUUUUUAUUUUUCAACCUCAAAGGAUAUGGUUUAUCUUGUUUUGGAAAGGGAAAACGUAUCUAUAUUUCUGAGGGCUUGUUCUUUAAUAAAAUAAACCAAGAUAAAUAGGUUUACAUAUUUGAGAAUAUAUGGAGUAUGUUUCCCACAUUUUAAUCCCAAAAUGCUAAAUAAAACAUACGGAGUCUGCUGAAUGUCAAAUAUGACAUCAAUACACCAUGGAAGAACUACUGAUGUUGAGUUCCUAGGUCAACGUUAAAAGUAUUUGUGAAAUUUUGAGUAGAUUUUAUUAAUAAAUUGCUUUUCUUUCAAAGACUCCUGGGUAAUAAUGCACUGUCACCUUUUCUCAUUAGUUGAGUUGUGAUAAGGGGGUCUGAAUGGACUUCCAGUUUCCUAUCCCUGUGAAAGACCUAAGCUUGAAGAAAGAUGCAUUUUCUUUGUCUUUCUCUUGUCUGGUCAGUGUUAACAAUAAAACAGAACUACUUUUUAAAAGAUCGUUCCCAGACACUCUGGAAAACACGUUGGGUGAUUUCUUAAAGAACUAAACAUGUACCUACCAUACAACCCAGCAGUUGCUCUCUUGGACAUUUAUCCCAGAGAAGUAAAAACUUUCUGCUGAUUGAUUUUUCUCCUGGGUGUUGGGCGUAUUUUCCUGCUUAUUUACAAGUGGAGUGAUUUGUUUUUUGGUCGUUUACUGGCCAUUGUGAAUUUUAUGUCAUUGACUGUUGGGUAUUGUUGUUUUCCUUUAAUGAGUAUUUGGUUUCGUUAUGGCACUUUUACUUGCACGUCAUUUUGACCCUUUUGAGGCUUGCUGUUAAGCUUUAUUAGGGUGAGCCCGGGGCAGACGACUCUAGGGCUAAUGUAGCCCUGAGACAACAGUACGACGCCUCUGAGAAUCUGCCCAACACCCCAUGUCGUACCAGACUUCUUCACUCAGGCUGGUGAGAACUUGAACUCUCCCCAUUCCCACGUUAGCCCUGGGAAUUGCUCAGCCCACUGCUCCUGAUGGCUCCUUUCGUGGCUUAGAAAUAUUCACCCCCUGCACGCGCAGAUCAGUAUUUAGCCAAAGACUCAAGGGGAACCUUCUGCAGAUCUCCAGAACUUUCGGCUGUGUAGCCCUGUUUCUCUGGUACAAUCAAAACAAAACUUAUCCCCACAUAAAAACUUAUAAACAAUAUUUAUAACAGCUUCAUUUGUAAUAGCCAAAAACUAGACAAAAAAAUAAAUGUUCUUCAAUGGGUAAAUGGUUAAACAGUGAUAUAUCCUAUAUGCUGGAAUACUACUAGUAAUAAAAAGAAAUGGAUUAUUGAUAUGUGCAACAACUUGACUGAAUCUGCAGUGAAUUAUGCAGAGGGAAAAAAGUCAAUCCCAAAAGGUUACAUGCUAUCUAUGUGAUAUGAUUCCAUUAUAUAACAUUCUCAAAAUGACAUAAUUAUAAAAAUUGAGGACACAUUCAGGGUUCCCAGGGGUCAGGGAUGGGGAUGGGGGAGUGAAGUGGGAGGUACAGUGAGGAAGGGAGUUGAGUGUGGUUAUAAAAGGGCAACAAAGGGAUCUUUAUCAUGAUGAAAGUAUUCUGUAUCUUUGUUUAUCUAUUCAUUAAAUGAUGGACAUUUGGAUUACAUCCAGGCUUUGGCUACUAUGAAUAAUGCUACUGUGAAUACUCACGUAAAAGUCUUUAUAUGGACAUGUGUUUUCAUUUUCUUGAGUAGACACCUAGGGGUGAAAUUGUUAUAUAAUAGUAAGUUAGCUAUGUUAAUAGUAAGUUAGGGGAGGGCUCUGUGGCUGAGUGGUUAAGUUUUCACACUUUGCUGUGGCGGCCCAGGGUUCGGAUCCUGGGCGCGGACAGGGCACUGCUCGUCAGGCCACGUUCAGGCGGCAUCCCGUGUCUCACAAAUAGAAGGACCUACAACUAAGACAUACAACUGUGUACAGGGGGGUUUGGGGAGAUAAAGCAGAAGAAAAAAGAAAAGAUUGGCAACAGUUGUUAGCCCAGGUGCCAAUCAAAAAAAAAAAGUAGUAAGUUAAUGCUCAACUUUUGAAGUAAUUGCUGAAAUGUUUUCUAAAGUGGCUGUACCAUUUUACAUUUCCACCAGCAGUGUAUGAGGGUUCCAGAUUCUUCUCAUACUUGCCACCACUUGGUAUUGACAGUCUUUCAUUAUAGCCAUUCUGAUGGGUAAGGAGUGGUACCUCACUGAGGUUUUAAUUUACAUUUCUCCAAUGACUAAUGAUGUUGAGCAUCCUUUCAUGGGUUUAUUAGCUAUUCACAUAUUUUCUUAGUAAUAUAUCUGUUAGACCUUUUGACCAUUUUAAAAUUAGUUUACUUGUAUUCUUAUGAUUGAGUUUUAAGAGUUCUUUAUAUAUUCUGAAUAUAAACCCUUUAUCAGAUAUAUGAUCUACAAAAGUUUUCUCCUAAUCUAUGUCUUAUCUUUUUAUUAAUGAUGCUUUUUGAAGAGCAAAAGUUGUUAAUUUUAUGAAGUUCAAUGUAUCAACUUUUUCUUUCAUAAAUCAUAUUUUUGAGGUUAUGUCUAAGAAAUCUUUCCUAACUCAGUGUCACAAAGGUUUUCUCCUAUAUUUUCUUCUUUAAGUUAUAUCUUUUUAGCUCCCAUAUUUAG